rnacentral:rRNA from 1 species
GACGAACGCUGGCGGCGUGCUUAACACAUGCAAGUCGAACGGUGAAGGGACUGGUUUUGCUGGUCCUGGAUGAGUGGCGAACGGGUGAGUAACACGUGAGUAACCUGCCCCCUUCUUCUGGAUAACCGCAUGAAAGUGUGGCUAAUACGGGAUAUUCUGGGUCUGUCGCAUGGUGGGCCUGGGAAAGAUUGCGCCUUUUUUGGUGUUUUUGGUGGGGGAUGGGCUCGCGGCCUAUCAGCUUGUUGGUGGGGUGAUGGCCUACCAAGGCGGUGACGGGUAGCCGGCCUGAGAGGGUGGACGGUCACACUGGGACUGAGACACGGCCCAGACUCCUACGGGAGGCAGCAGUGGGGAAUAGUGCACAAUGGGCGCAAGCCUGAUGCAGCGACGCCGCGUGAGGGAUGGAGGCCUUCGGGUUGUGAACCUCUUUCGCCAGUGAAGCAGGCCUGCCUCUUUGUGUGGGUGGGUUGACGGUAGCUGGAUAAGAAGCGCCGGCUAACUACGUG